rnacentral:misc_RNA from 1 species
GAAAUGCGAUAAGUAGUGUGAAUUGCAGAAUUCAGUGAAUCAUCGAAUCUUUGAACGCACAUUGCGCUUCCUGGUAUUCCGGGGAGCAUGCCCGUUUCAGAAUCAUACAGAAUCUCAAGUUACCGUCGAGUUGCAUUUUGGCACUCUUCGAUAGCAUGGAUGUUGGAUGCUUUGUACAGCUGUGUACAAUCAUCUUUAAACGAAUGUAUGUCGCGCAAAGUCCUGUCUUGGAUUGCGGAUCGAAGUGCAACAGCUAGUUCUAUUCUCUUCGAUUGAGCAAUUUGGGCAUGGUUGUGCAUGCGUACCACCCAAUGCAUCCAUCAACGGAGGCAUUGUCACACAGCAGACGGUGCUCUGGUAUCGACUGGCUGAUAACUUGGUCUGAAAUCGGGCAAGAAAA